UCAAAUUUUACCCGAUCUGGAGAAGCUUGUUCUGAGUGAUGCUUCUUUCGAAGAAAUCAUUUUUCAUGAAGAGAUUAUUAGCGAGGAAACACGUGCUGGACUUGUAAAAUUGAAAGAACUAAAGCUGUCUAAGCUGCCAAGGCUCAAGCAUCUGAUGGACGCUAAACUACUCACAGUUUUUCAAUAUCUGGAGACUUUAGAAGUACUGGAAUGUGGCAGACUGGAAAUUUUAGUGCCAUCCUCAGUUUCUUUCCAAAAUCUCAAAACACUGGAGGUAUCAAAUUGCCAACGUCUAGUAAAUCUAAUAUCUUCCUCAACAGCGAGAAGUCUUGAACGACUUAGAAAAAUGAAGAUAGAGGAAUGUGGACUGAUCCAAGAAAUUAUAGUGACUGAAGCAGAUAAAGAUGAAGAAGAGAAGAUUUGCUUCGGUCAACUAAAAUGUUUGGAACUUCAAAAUCUACCAAGCCUCUCUAGCUUCUGCUCUGGUAAUUCUACCUUCAGUUUCCCUUCUUUGGAAGAAGUGAUCAUUAUAGAAUGCCCCAAUAUGAAGAUUUUUGCGCAAGAAGUCUUGAGCGCGCCAAAGCUAUGGAGAGUUCAAACAGGAGAACCUAAAUAUAAAUGGGAAUUGGAAUGGGAUUGGGAACGGAAAUACCAAAACUUCUCAAAAAAAAAAUAUUUAUGCGAAUGGGAAUGGGAAGGCAGCCUUAAUAACACCAUUCAAUCAUUAUUUGUGGAAAUGCUGUCAAAUUUCUUUCCCAGAAAGCUAAAGAGACGGGAUAGGCCAGUGUUCAUAUGCAAAAGCUUGAAUAAGGCUGAUGUUCCAUGAGAUUUGUGACGCAGAUUAACUAAUAUUUUUCCAGUUGAAGGUAGUACAAUCAGAAACUCAAACAGCUGAGAGAACCACCACACAGCAAUAUUAUGUAGAAGAUACCCAUCUAAGUCAAACUCAUUUUCAGCUGGUAAUACACCUACCUGCUGCUACAAAAUUGAAGAAAUUUUGACAAAAAAUGCUUUGGCACUAGUGCUCAAGCCUUAAGGGGUUGUAACAAAAUUGGAGGAUGCUUAUUUAGGACACAAGAGAUGGAUACCAAGUCCACCGAAAGUGGAGAAGCUUCAAUCAGUGUAUAAUGCAGCAACUUUAGCAGAUAAGAGAAGGUAGAUUUCAACAUUCGAUCAAUGCUUGUUCCGUGAUUGUUGAAUGUCCUUACAGGGAAUAUUCAAGCAGAUCUCCACUGAAUUUUUGUGAGGUGUUUGUUAAGGAUCGUGAUCAAUCUAUGGGCUAGCAGGAAACGGAUAAAACCUGGGUACAAUGUGGGUUUAUACCAAAAGAAUUAGAAGAGCUGGUGGAAGGAUGAAAGAAGAUUACAAAAACAGAAUGAAAGGCUCUGGAGAAGGGACACUGGCAGCAGUAACAAAACAGGGGAAGAGCUGGAAAUGGUUAGCAUGAGUGUUACUCUAUUAGAGGGAAUUAAGGAGGGAAGGCCACCUAGAGAUGCUGACGGAAAAGGGGAUCCAAAUCCAUUAUAUAUAGGGACUGUUUCACUUUCAGCAGCUAAACGAGAGAAGAUUUUUUUUAUUUGGCAGCCGUGGGCUGGGGCUAACUUGGUUAGCAAGGGAAUUAGUUCCUGAGGGAUGCUUAUCAACCAUUUCUUUCUCUUUCGUUUCUUUAUUUUUGAGUUGAAUUGAAAUAGCAGAAGUUUGUAAUUGCUAAACUAGAACCAUUCCUUCUUUUACUGAAUAAAUACAAGUUACAUUAGUUUCAUUACAA